CGCCGCGUGGGGGAUGACGCCUUUCGGGGUGUAAACCCCUUUUCUGCGGGAGGACAACCGACAGUACCGCAGGAAGAAGGCCCGGCUAACUACGUGCCAGCAGCCGCGGUAAUACGUAGGUGGCAAGCGUUGUCCGGAUUUACUGGGCGUAAAGAGCGCGCAGGCGGCUGGUCAAGUCCGAUGUGAAAUCUCCCGGCUCAACUGGGAAACUGCAUCGGAAACUGAUCGGCUUGAAGGUGGGAGAGGGCAGUGGAAUUCCCGGUGUAGUGGUGAAAUGCGUAGAUAUCGGGAGGAACACCAGUGGCGAAGGCGACUGCCUGGCCCAUUCUUGACGCUGAGGCGCGAAAGCUAGGGGAGCGAACGGGAUUAGAUACCCUGGUAGUCCACACCGUAAACGUUGGGCGCUAGGUGUGGGGUCCAUUCCACGGAUUCCGUGCCGCAGCUAACGCAUUAAGCGCCCCGCCUGGGGAGUACGGCCGCAAGGCUAAAACUCAAAGGAAUUGACGG
rnacentral:rRNA from 1 species